AUGCAGGCGUUCGCGCGCCUCUCCUCCCCCGCCGCCUCCAGAAAGGUGGUAUUGGGCGUCUCUGGCGCGGUCACAAGGCCGUGCUACCGGACAUGGCGGUGGAAGGCGCAUGCGGCGCCGCUGUCGGCUCCGGACCCACCCAAGGGCAAGAAGAGGGAAUGGAUAUCCAAGAAUGAAAGGAAGGCUAGGAUGAAGGAGUUUAUUGAGGGUUAUCAGGCAUCAAAUGACGGUAGAUUUCCGACUAUGCAAAUGAUUCGUCAAAGUGUUGGAGGGGGUCACUACACAAUUAGGGAUGUACUCUCAGAAGUAAAGUAUAAUCAGAUAAAGUUUCCGUUUGAUAAGUCUAAGGCAGCCCAGCUUCAGGAGACAGCUGAAGGUGCUGAGCAGUCAAGGCCAGAGGAGGACAGUGGGAACAGUUCAUUCAACUCUCAGAGCUUUAAUGGAAAUCAGGAUGAAGAUGGCACACUCCAAUCCGAGAAAGAUUCUCCUGCUGGCACUACAAUCAUGGAAAACACUGAAGCUUUGAUGUCUUUGGACGCAAAGGAGGCGAAGUUACCGCUAUAUAACUCCGAGGCAGCCCAGCUUCAUGAGACAGGUGAAUGUGCUGAGAAAUCAAGGCUCGAGGAGAGUGGGAGCAGUACAUUGAGCCCAGAUGACACACUCCUCUCCCAGAAAGAUUCUGCUAUGGGCGCUACAAUCAUAGAAAACAAUCAACCAUUGGGAUCUCUAGAGUCAGAAGACUCCUCUCAUUACAAUGGAGAAACCGAGGUUGCCAAGCAAGAUUCAUUUACUGCAGUAGCAGAUGCAAAUGACCUGACUGUAUCGAGACAAGCAGAAAUUGAUAGCAUGAAGACUGAAGCACCCAUAUCUUUGGAACUGGAGACUAAGUCAGACUGUGGGAAUCGUCAAGGGGAAACUGAAGUUAACAAGUUGCAUUCGAACAAUGAGAAAAAAUUCCAGGAUCCAACUGAACCAACUGUAUCUGAUCAAACUGAACAUGACACAGUGAUCAAAGGAAAUGUACUUCACAGAGAAGAGAACCCCGAGGUCGAGGGGCAGGGAUCAAGCAAGACAAGUCUUUUAGGGAGCCUGAAAUCUCUUGCUUCUGGGAUCAGAAACUUCUGGAGAAAUCUGUAA
rnacentral:rRNA from 1 species